ACAUCUCUCCCUCUUGUAUGUGUAUAUAAGCAUCUCAUGCUUGCUUUAUUUUCCUUAGUAAUAUCUACUGAAAAAAAAUAGCAAAGAACCACAUCAUUACUAGCAGCCAUGGAGGAGACUGACGAAGAAGCAACUAUAGAUGAAAUCAAAUACAGAGGAAUCAGAGCAAUGCCCUUUGUCAUAGGGAAUGAGACAUUUGAGAAGCUAGGAACAAUUGGAAGCUCAUCAAAUCUGUUGGUUUAUCUGACAAGUAUUUUUCAUUUGAAGACCAUAACAGCUACUAAUAUUGUCAACAUCUUCAAUGGCACUUGCAACUUUGGCACCUUGCUUGGAGGUUUUCUUUCUGAUACUUACUUCGGCCGUUACAAGAUGCUUGGAUUUGCCUCAGUGACUUCCUUCUUGGGAAUGCUAGUUCUAACUUUAACAGCAGCAGUCUCAAAGCUACAUCCUCCAGAAUGUGGAGGAAACCAAGAAGCCACACAAUGUGUUGGUCCAACAACAGGGCAAAUGACGUUUUUACUAGGUGGCUUUUGCUUGCUAGUAACUGGUGCUUCUGGCAUUAGGCCAUGCAAUUUAGCAUUUGGUGCAGAUCAAUUUGAUCCCAACACUGAAUCAGGAAGAAGGGGAAUCAGUAGUUUCUUCAAUUGGUACUAUUUCAGUUACACAUUUGCUAUGAUGGUCUCAUUGACUGUCAUUGUCUAUGUUCAAUCAAGUAUCAGUUGGUCAUUGGGAUUAGCCAUCCCAACAAUUAUGAUGUUCCUUUCUUGUGCACUUUUCUUUGUGGGCACUAAGAUUUAUGUCAGGCUUGUACCAAAAGGUAGCCCUUUAACAAGUGUGGCACAGGUCCUAGUGGCUGCAUUCAAGAAAAGGCACUUGCAGCUGCCACAGCAACCAUGCUUCUCACUGUUCAACUAUGUGGCCUCCAAUUCCUUGAAUUCUAUGCUUCCUUACACUGAUCAGUUUAGAUUCUUGAGUAAAGCAGCAGUAAAAAACCCAGAAGACCACUUAAACUCAUCAGAUGGAUCAGCAGUCAAUCCAUGGAGGCUUUGCAGCAUUCAACAAGUGGAAGAAGUGAAAUGCUUACUGAGAAUAAUCCCAAUAUGGGUUGCUGGAACUAUCUAUUAUGUCUCUGUUGUUCAAUCACAAAAUUAUGCCAUCUUCCAAGCCUUACAAAGUGAUAAUCAACUAGGCCAUUUUCACAUCCCACCAGCAUCUUUCAUAGUCAUUUCCAUGCUCAGUAUAACAAUUUGGCUACCUAUAUACGAUCGCGUUUUACUUCCAUGGCUUCGGAAAUUCAGACGGAAAGAAGAUGGAAUCACUCUUCUCCCCAAAAUGGGAAUCGGAAUAUUUCUUUCUAUUAUUACAAUGAUCAUAUCAGGGAUUGUUGAAAACAAGAGAAGAACUCUGGCAAUGACUCAGGGGAAAGGUGCAAUUUCAUCCAUGUCAGGACUAUGGCUAAUACCUCAGAUGGCAUUAUCAGGUCUUUCAGAGGCAUUUACAUUAAUCAGCGAGAAUGAGUUCUUCUACAAACAAUGCCCUGAAAACAUGAGGAGCAUCGCGGCGUCUUUCUUCUUUGUCGGAUUGGCAGGGUCGAGUUACUUGAGCAGUUUCUUCUCAUCAGUUGUUCAUAAGACAUCAAAUUGGUUGGCUGAGGAUCUUAACAAGGGAAGAUUAGACUGCUUUUACUACCUCAUUGCAGCACUAGAGACUCUGAAUUUGGGUUAUUUUCUUCUCUGUGCAAAAUGGUACAAGUACAAAGGAGUGAGCAAGUGACAACAAAUUGAGUGAAAGAACAAUCUGAGAAACCUCUUGUGCUAGCCAGAUUACAUUGUAAUGUAAUUUUCCAUCCGCAGUAAAAGGGGUAGGAACAAGACACUUUUCUGAUGGAGGUCAAAAAUCUUCCAUUACGCAUAGUUAAGGGGCAUUUUGACCCUUUACCCUGGAAAAUAAAACAACAAAAAUUUGUUUUGCUAAAUCAUACACCACUGCUGCAUUAUCACGUGGGAUUUAUCCCUCAAAAGCUGAUGCGGGGCACAUAGUAGAAUAAUGCUUUGACUUAUAACUACCACAAAAUAUGUAAUGAAUUGAUUGAAGUAAGGAAGAUAGGAUUUA